rnacentral:rRNA from 1 species
UGGGGAAUAUUGCACAAUGGGCGCAAGCCUGAUGCAGCCAUGCCGCGUGUAUGAAGAAGGCCUUCGGGUUGUAAAGUACUUUCAGUCGGGAGGAAGGUGGUAAGGUUAAUAACCUUAUCAAUUGACGUUACCGACAGAAGAAGCACCGGCUAACUCCGUGCCAGCAGCCGCGGUAAUACGGAGGGUGCAAGCGUUAAUCGGAAUUACUGGGCGUAAAGCGCACGCAGGCGGUUGAUUGAGUCAGAUGUGAAAUCCCCGGGCUUAACCCGGGAAUUGCAUCUGAUACUGGUCAGCUAGAGUCUUGUAGAGGGGGGUAGAAUUCCAUGUGUAGCGGUGAAAUGCGUAGAGAUGUGGAGGAAUACCGGUGGCGAAGGCGGCUCCCUGGACAAAGACUGACGCUCAGGUGCGAAAGCGUGGGGAGCAAACAGG